ACGUAAAACAGCAGAGCAAGUUGAUACCCCAUCACUGACAAACAAAUGGCUUGCACUGGAGCUUCUUGGAGCUCUCAGUAGCAGCCUCAUGCUGUCAUUAUACGCCACUGUGAGUUUUCUAAUGCUGCCUUAUUUAUAACGACACCAUAGGUGGGCAGUAUACAAAGGUGUACAGUACAAGGGAGUGACAUCUUCACCGAUACAGAGCACAUGCUAAACUUAUGACCCAACAUGUUCGCUUGAGCAUAGAGCUCCCCUUAUUGGGCUUAUCUCUGGUGGUGAUGAGUCUGCCUACAGGGAGAUUGACCAUCUGGUGUCCUAGUGCAGACAAAACAGCUUGGA